GCUGUGGAAGUCGACGCCAUCCCAUCAUCAGAGAGCCCUGAGGCCGCCAUUGGCAGGUCCACUCUCUUCCUCAGCCUCAACUCUUGUCCGAAGAACGGACACAACGACCACGCGGACUUUACCGGCGUUCGUGAGCUGGGACUGGAACAUUUGCCGGAGAAGAUCCGUGUGCCGGCCGUGGUGGAUUAUCUCAAGGCCGAGUCCAACAUGACGGUCAGAGUUUUGGUAAAAUGGACAAGCAAGAACCGCCCAAACGAGGAUUCCUGUGCCAAAUUCAGGGGAACUAACAUGACACGAACAGCGUCAGGGACAUGUAUCCUAGACAACAAACACGACUUCGUGUUGACGCCUUGCAAAGUUCCCAACUGUCCCAGGGCAGAGGACCUCGGGCGCAACCAUUUCUACUACGAGGGCGAUCUAAAAAUAUUCACCAAUCGUCACGUGUUGUUCGAUGACGACGAACUGAACAACACGGUGGUUGAUUUUUUUUACGACAGUGACGACAGAGACGGUGUCGUCAGAGAAUCGGCGACCAGGUUAUUUUAUUCCAAGCGCCCGACGGACCGGACUUUUUUUAAGGUGUCCAUCCACGAUAAGGACCUGUUGCUGAGGUUGGGCCAACUUGAAAUCAACAGGACCAUCGCGUUUCAAAAAAUUCCCACGUUUGUUUUAAGGAGAAUGUCUGCGUUUGCGAUCGUCAUAUCCCAUCCUCAUGGUAUGCCGAAAAAAAUCAGUAUCGGUCACGUGAUCCGGGUGACAGAAGAAAACAUUACACCGGAAACGAUGUCGAACGCUAAAAUAGUAGGGAGGCUGGAGAGAGCGUGGUUUGCUUCUCGGAGUCAGGCGGACUAUAGAGAGUAUAUGAAGGCUCUGGGCACGCUGGAUAUGCCGAUGUAUAAAGUCUGGUACAACACCCCCACCUGUCAGGGGAGUUCAGGGGCGCCGGUCUUGUUCGGCGCCCGACAAUGCAGCGGGACGUGGGGUCCCUACAUGGCCUUCCACACGGCCUAUGAGUUCGAUUUUAAUUUAAAUUUCUUUAAAGUUGCCAGAUUUAUGAAUUAAAAACUAUUUUAUGUACAGAA